rnacentral:rRNA from 1 species
UACGAAGGGGGCUAGCGUUGUUCGGAAUUACUGGGCGUAAAGCGCACGUAGGCGGAUAUUAAGUCAGGGGUGAAAUCCCAGAGCUCAACUCUGGAACUGCCUUUGAUACUGGGUAUCUCGAGUAUGGAAGAGGUGAGUGGAAUUCCGAGUGUAGAGGUGAAAUUCGUAGAUAUUCGGAGGAACACCAGUGGCGAAGGCGGCUCACUGGUCCAUUACUGACGCUGAGGUGCGAAAGCGUGGGGAGCAAACAGG